rnacentral:rRNA from 1 species
CGGAGUGGCAGACGGGUGAGUAACGCGUGGGAACAUACCCCUCGGUUCGGAAUAACUCAGGGAAACUUGAGCUAAUACCGGAUACGUCCGAGGUUUUAAUCGACCUUGGAGAAAGAUUUAUCGCCGGAGGAUUGGCCCGCGUCUGAUUAGCUUGUUGGUGAGGUAAUGGCUCACCAAGGCGACGAUCAGUAGCUGGUCUGAGAGGAUGAUCAGCCACAUUGGGACUGAGACACGGCCCAAACUCCUACGGGAGGCAGCAGUGGGGAAUAUUGGACAAUGGGCGAAAGCCUGAUCCAGCCAUGCCGCGUGAGUGAUGAAGGCCUUAGGGUUGUAAAGCUCUUUUACCCGGGAAGAUAAUGACGGUACCGGGAGAAUAAGCCCCGGCUAACUUCGUGCCAGCAGCCGCGGUAAUACGAAGGGGGCUAGCGUUGUUCGGAAUUACUGGGCGUAAAGCGCACGUAGGCGGAUCUUUAAGUCAGGGGUGAAAUCCCGAGGCUCAACCUCGGAACUGCCUUUGAUACUGGGGAUAUCGAGUCCGGGAGAGGUGAGUGGAACUGCGAGUGUAGAGGUGAAAUUCGUAGAUAUUCGCAAGAACACCAGUGGCGAAGGCGGCUCACUGGCCCGGUACUGACGCUGAGGUGCGAAAGCGUGGGGAGCAAACAGGAUUAGAUACCCUGGUAGUCCACGCCGUAAACGAUGGAUGCUAGCCGUUAGACAGCUUGCUGUUUAGUGGCGCAGUUAACGCGUUAAGCAUCCCGCCUGGGGAGUACGGUCGCAAGAUUAAAACUCAAAGGAAUUGACGGAAUCGAAUU